GGUCUUGUGGUCUAGUGGUAUGAUUCUCGCUUAGGGUGCGAGAGGUCCCGGGUUCAAGCCCCGGCAAGGCCC